AGAGAGAGACAUGCGCGCAUAUCAAUAAGCGAGGAAAAGAAACUAACUAGGAUUCCCUUAGUAACGGCGAGUGAAGCGGGAAGAGCUCAAAUUUGAAAUCUUCAAGGGUUCUACCUUUACGAAUUGUAGUUUAAAGAAGUGUUUUCUGUUGAGGUUUUGGUAAAAGUUCUUUGGAAUAGGACAUCAUAGAGGGUGAGAAUCCCGUAUUUGACCAUUACUUCCAGCUUUGUGAUACACUUUCAAAGAGUCGGAUUGUUUGGGAAUGCAGUCCAAAAUGGGUGGUAAAUUUCAUCUAAAGUUAAAUACUGGCGAGAGACCGAUAGCGAACAAGUACCGUGAGGGAAAGAUGAAAAGAACUUUGAAAAGAGAGUUAAACAGUACGUGAAAUUGUCAAAAGGGAAGCGUUUGACACCAGUGUUGUUUUCUCGAAAAUCAAUUAAAAAGGAUGGGAUUUUGUGUUGUAUUGACUUUAUCAGCUUUCUGCACUCUUUUCCUGUCUUUUUUAAUGCACUUUUCGUUUAACAAGUCAACAUCAAUUUCUUUUGUUGUAAAGGGUCAUUGGAAGGUGGCUUUCUUUUCGGAGAAAGUGUUUAUAGCCUUUGACUUCUGCAGUCGGAGAGAUUGAGGUCUGCAGCGUAGAUCCUUCGGGGUUAGAUGCAUUUGUGCUAAGUUAUAGCCUUUCAUAGACAACUUGUUGACUAUGAUCAGUCAUGUAGCUUACUCGCUUAUGUCAUUUUACCUACGCUUAGGAUGUUGAUCUGUAGUGCGUGCGC
rnacentral:rRNA from 1 species